rnacentral:rRNA from 1 species
CAAAGCACUUUGAAGAGAGAGUUAAAGAGGACGUGAAACUGGCACGAUGGAAACGGAUAGAGCUAGCGAACUCGUUCGUAUUCAGCCAACGGUUCUGGGUUCGGUCUUGUUGUGUUUCAGUUUUGUGCACGCAGGAUCGAGCGCCUGGGUUCCAAGGUGCAUUUGCGGACGAUUGCGCUGAGACUUGUGGGGCAGCGGUAGGACCCGGUUCAUGAGGCCUCCUUUUGGUUGUACCCUGAACUGGUAUACGACUGUUUGCUCUGCUCGUAAUGUUGGUUCGGCCUCGGGUGAAACUGCCGUUGGCGUUCUCUUGUGGUGGCAACAGCACGCUUUGCCUAACUUGGGGAUUCCGGCUGCGGUGGAGCUCUCGAACUGUCUCUCGGUGUAAAAGCUGGUCAUCUAUCCGACCCGUCUUGAAACACGGACCAAGGAGUUUAGCGUAUGUGCGAGCCACUGGGUAUUGCAAAACCUAUGGGCACAAUGAAAGUGAAGGCUCGGUCGCCGAGCUUACAUGCGACCGUGCUAGCUUCGGCUGGUGCGGGCAGCAUGGUCCCGUUUCAGUCGCUUGCGACGGAGCGGAGACAGAGUGCAUGCGCUGAGACCCGAAAGAUGGUGAACUAUUCCUGAGCAGGACGAAGCCAGAGG